AGCGAACGCUGCGGCAGGCUUAACACAUGCAAGUCGAGCGGGCGUAGCAAUACGUCAGCGGCAGACGGGUGAGUAACGCGUGGGAACGUACCUUUUGGUUCGGAACAACACAGGGAAACUUGUGCUAAUACCGGAUAAGCCCUUACGGGGAAAGAUUUAUCGCCGAAAGAUCGGCCCGCGUCUGAUUAGCUAGUUGGUGAGGUAAUGGCUCACCAAGGCGACGAUCAGUAGCUGGUCUGAGAGGAUGAUCAGCCACAUUGGGACUGAGACACGGCCCAAACUCCUACGGGAGGCAGCAGUGGGGAAUAUUGGACAAUGGGCGCAAGCCUGAUCCAGCCAUGCCGCGUGAGUGAUGAAGGCCCUAGGGUUGUAAAGCUCUUUUGUGCGGGAAGAUAAUGACGGUACCGCAAGAAUAAGCU
rnacentral:rRNA from 1 species